CUGCUGCCUUCCGUAGGAGUUUGGGCCGUGUCUCAGUCCCAAUGUGGCCGUUCACCCUCUCAGGCCGGCUACUGAUCGUCGCCUUGGUGGGCCGUUACCCCGCCAACCAGCUAAUCAGACGCGGGUCCAUCUUGCACCACCGGAGUUUUCUACACCGAGCCAUGCGGCUCUGUGCGCUUAUGCGGUAUUAGCACCUAUUUCUUAAGUGUUAUCCCCGGUCGCAAGGCACGGUUCCCCGUACCGCCGUUACCUCACCCGUCCCGCCACCUAA
rnacentral:rRNA from 1 species